rnacentral:rRNA from 1 species
UAAAGUUUAUUAAAAAUUUAGUGUUCCCGAAUUUAGAAGAGCUAUUUAUAUAUAUAUAUUUUAUUGUUGAAUAAAUAUUUAAAAUAUAUUAUUAGUAAUGAAACGUUAUUCGUUUCUAAAUUUAUCUGGUUUUUUUAGAAAUAAAUUUAAUUUAUCUAAAUUUUUGUAAAAUUUUUAUUUGAAAAUUUUUUAUAUAAUUUAGUUAACUCCCUUGGGGAUGAGCUUGGGGGUGGAUUAGUUAUAAAUAUAAAUUGUUUUAUAAUGUUAAUAGGAUUAGAAGUUUCCAUUUUGAUAAUGUUAUAAUUUUCAUUAUUAUUAUUUUUAUUUAUAUAAUUUUUAACUUAUCUAUAAAAAUUAAUUAGUUAAUAAUUUUCUAUUUUGUAAUAAUGAUAGAAUUAGUAUAUUAAGUUGUUUGAUAGAUGAUGACUUUAAGGUUAGUUAAAGGAAUUCGGCAAAUAUUUUUCUGCCUGUUUAUUAAAAACAUGUCUUUUUGAUUUUUAUUUAAGGUCUAGCCUGCCCACUGAAUUUUAAAUGGCUGCGGUACCCU